GGUGGGAUGGGUGAGUGGCUGAAACCAACAGUUUGCUAAACUGUCGUACGGGUAACCGUACCGAGGGUUCGAAUCCCUCUUCCACCG
rnacentral:tRNA from 1 species